GGGUGCAAAGAGAAAUUAACGGUAAACAUAAAUUAUGUUAUGUAUUAAUAAACUCCACUUAAAAAUGACGAGGGAAGCUCCACUCAUUUCACAACACUCUUCUCUCUCUCUCCUCUCUUAUUGAUUUUCGGCCUCUGAUUUUCAAUCGUCUCUCGCUGUUUCAGUAACUGUUCACUGAAUCCCCAAAGCUAAGAUUCAAGAUCAAGGGUUUUUGGGCAAUUGAAUUUCAUCGUCUAAGUGUCAAAUCGCCCCCCUCAGAAAAAAUCAAAGGUAUGCAUCGAAUCCCGAUUUUACACAUAUAUGAGAACUCACAUUCCUGUAAAAGUGAUUAUUAUGGUUCAAAUGAUGCUUCCAUUUGCAAAGCGUUUUGAUGAAGAUUUUAGGGUUUUUUUUUUUUUUAAUUCUAAUCGAACUGUAUUUUGAAACUUUGUUCGAAUCUUAUGUGGGAGUGGAGAAAAGAAUCCGAUUCUAGUGUUUUCGUUUAUAUGAAUGUAGAUAGGGUUUGCGAAUUGGGUUUUUAGAAUUCCCUCUCUCAACUGCUCCAUUCUCUGGUGAGAGUAGAAAUUUCAAUACACAUUGAUUUAUAUUUUGAUGUUAGUAAAUUAUAGUGUAGAGUAGCAAAUUAGGUACAUCAAUGUCGAUUUGGCGUCUUCGAUCUGUAUUUGAUGCCGAAAUUUUGGGGCGGGCUGUGAUCGUGAUCGUUACCAAGUAUAAGGAAAAUGGAAGAAUUAGUUUUUUGUCUUCGUUACUUAUAAGUUAUAACUAGAUAGCUGUAGAAUUCAUUAGUAUUUAGUACAGAGUAAGUGAAGCAUCCAAUAUUGACAAAAUCAU
rnacentral:lncRNA from 1 species